GCUGUUUGGUUCAUAACCCCGAUAGGCUGUUCCAAGCCAUUAUCUUGCCUUUUAAAAUUCUCUUUCCCUUUCCUCACAACUAUUUCAGCAGGUGAGGUUGUCUGAAGAAUCACUGCCUGCCUGAUCUUAAAAUAACAUUUUUAUCUUAGUCAGAAUUGAUAAUUUAUAAUAGGUCCUUGUUGUCUAGUGGCUCAAGCACUUGUCUCAGCCUGGCCUUUUGAGCAAUCUGUAGUCUAGAUCUGGUGUCACCUUGCCUUUCCAAAUUUAUCUUCCAGUGGCUGCUCCCCACAAGCUGGUUUUCUUCGUGAAAUGCUGGGAUUAUAGGUGUGAGCCACUGAGCCCAGUCACUAGUGUGUACCUUUUCAGUCUCCACUUCUCCCUACUCUCUAGAUUUCCUAAACUUCCUUUUUCCUCUGCACUCUAAGCUAAUGAGUUUACCUCUGAAGAAAUCAAAGAAAUUGCCAUUAUCUUCUCACCAACAAAUCUACAAGCUGUACCACAUGCUUCUCUCGUUGUGGUGGCUAGUUUUCUCUGCUUUCUUUUAACCCUCAACUUAAAAAAAAAUGCAUAAGUAUAGGAUGUGGGAGACCCAAUUUAACAGUAGUUCAAGUGAAAAUAAAGGGCUUACCCAUUUUAGUAUGCUGUAAAUUGAAUAUAACUCAAUAGUGUAACAUGGCUAUUAUUAUAUUUGUGAAUGCAUGCUUUUUAAAUUUAUUUUUAUUUAUUUUUAUAUUUUUAAGAGGCAGGAUCUUUCUUGUUCCUUUGCCCAGGCAGGAGUGCAGUGGUGCAAUCAUAGCUUACUGCAGGUUCGAAUUCCUGGGCACGGAGUUUCGCUCUUGAUGCCCAGCAGGCUGGAGUGCAAUGGCGCGAUUUCAGCUCACUGCAACCUCCUCCUCCCAGGUACAAGCGAUUUUCCUGUCUCAGCCUCCCAAGUAGCUCAGAUUACAGGCAUGUGCCACCACGCCCGGCUAAUUUUUUUUGUAUUUAGUAGAGACAGGGUUUCACCACGUUAGUCAGACUGACCUCAGGUGAUCCACCCACCUCGGCCUCCCAAAGUGCUGGGAUUAUAGGCGUGUGCCACGCACCCGGCCAAGACUAUUAAGCACCCAGUAGGUGGUUUAAAUUGAAUGGAACCAGAAGCAGAACUUUGGCCAAAGAGAUGGGGACAAAGGAAUGAGAGCAAAGGUGAAAAAGGCAAAAUGUCAAACAAUAUCAUUCUUUUGGAUAAAAAUGUGGUCUUUUCCCUUGCAAUGAGGUAAUGCUAAGGAAGUUUUUUCCCCACAGUCUGCAUAUGCUUAGUACAGUUAAAAUUAAAUCAUCGUAAAAUAUAGCAAUAUAAAUAUUAACAGAAAGUUUGAGUAUCAACAUUGUCUAUAGAAAAAAGGUGGCUUAGUCAGCACACAACUAUUAGUCACAGUGAGAAAACAAACAAUUCUGAAAUGUAGGGACCUGUUCACAGAUCAAAUAUGUGUAAAGGACAUAUCCAGUCACCCAGAGAUGUUUCUAGAGCAUGUUCAGCUCAGUUUGUAUCAUCUGGGUGUGUUUUGUGUACAUCUGUUUAACUUUCUUCUUGAGAUAACGUAAUUCUGCUCUUCCCAAGUUGUGUUGUUGUGGGUUUUUAAAUUUUUGUUGUUGUUGUUUGUUUUUUGAGACAGGGUCUGGCUCUGUCGCCCAGGCUGUAGUUCAGUGGCGCGAUCUAGGCUCACUGCAACCUCCGCCUCCGGGCUCAAGCCAUCCUCCCACCUCAGCCUCCCAAGUAGCUGGGACUAUACUGCCCAGGCUCCCAUUUUCCAGUUGAGUGCUCCCUUUCCCUUUUUUUUCCCCUUUCUUCCUCCCAGCGUAGCUCAUCUCUCAAAGCCGGUGGGGUGGACAGAGGAACAGUUUGGAGGUGGUGCCAAAGUAACAUUCCAUUUCUCUCCGGGUCUUCUCCCCUACCCUCCCAUAUUAAUAUUUGUUUUUUACUUGCCAAGAGGCAGGACCAAAGUUUCUGCAGGACCAAACUGCAGGUGCAGUUGCACCAAGCAACUUACAUUCAAACAAACACAAAACCCCAAGCCAAGCCGGUCUCCGUAAAUCCCACACCACGACUGCCUUUCCUACUUCCUCCUUAGAGGUACUUCUCAGCCCUCUAGCUCCAACUGAGAACCCAGCCAGUCAGGAAGUCGCUACUUCGGGAACACCAACCAA
rnacentral:lncRNA from 10 species